UCUCAGCCCAUUGUCAGGGUGUGGAAAGCCGUGCAGAGAUGAUGAACGAGGUCAUUAAAAGAGAAGCAGAGGCAGGAAUUGUUCCUGAUCCAGUAAUUGAUACUUACAUGCAGGCAACAUCUGUCAAAGUGACAAAGACAACACUUCAAACUGACUACAUACUAAAAGUAAUUAUACUCGAGCUU